GAAGUAGGAGCCCUUUGAGGGAAGCCAUUAAUUAGAUGUUUUUAGAAUAAAAUUGCAGUUGGAAGCUAUAGGACGCUGUUAUCAAGGAUAAAGGUGAUAUUGCAAUGUAGAGAAAACACUAUGCUCUUACUUUUGAGUUAUAUACAGUAAUUGCAGGUGGAUGUUAGGAAACAUGAAACUGUAAGACUGAGACAAGAUAUUUGGUAUCCAUUUGGGACAUGUUGUCCUCCAUACACAUGUAAGAAUAUUAUAACCUAUAAAGCAUUGGUGAAGGGAGAAGAUAAUGACUAAUUCUAUUUGCUUUUUUUGCACCCAUCAUAUUUUCUUUUAUUUCUCUUAUUUUAGGAACUUCAUGUUCACCAGUCUUUCCUGAUUUAUGAUAAAUUACAGAAUUAUAGUCCAUUUUCCUUUACAUGUGCACAUCAUACCAUGAUUGAUAUUGAAAGGUUAAAAAAGCUUGUUCUUUUGUUGUUACCGUUGUUGUUAUUAAUUUUUAAUGACAUGGAGCUACUUUAGAUAGUAAGCUUUUAGAGGGUGUGUAUUCUGGGACUCUUCUCUGGUGUAAAGAGUUGAAGGGUAUAUGAAAGUG
rnacentral:misc_RNA from 1 species